rnacentral:rRNA from 1 species
UACGUAGGGUCCAAGCGUUGUCCGGAUUUAUUGGGCGUAAAGAGCUCGUAGGCGGUUCGGUAAGUCGGAUGUGAAACUCAGGCUCAACCGGAGACGCCAUCCGAUACUGCUGUGACUGGAGUCUGGUAGGGAUCACGGAAUACCUGGUGUAGCGGUGAAAUGCGCAGAUAUCAGGUGGAACACCGAUGGCGAAGGCAGUGAUCUGGGCCAGUACUGACGCUGAGGAGCGAAAGCGUGGGAGCAAACAGG